rnacentral:rRNA from 1 species
UAAUACAGAGGGUGCAAGCGUUAAUCGGAUUUACUGGGCGUAAAGCGUGCGUAGGUGGCCACGUAAGUCGGUUGUGAAAUCCCUGGGCUCAACCCGGGAAUUGCUUCCGAUACUGCGAGGCUCGAGUUCGGUAGAGGGUGGCAGAACUCCCGGUGUAGCGGUGAAAUGCGUAGAUAUCGGGAAGAAUACCGAUGGCGAAGGCAACCACCUGGGCCUGAACUGACACUGAGGCACGAAAGCGUGGGUAGCAAACAGGAUUAGAUACCCUGGUAGUCCACGCUGUAAACGAUGGGAACUUGACGUCGGUUUGCUCUGCGAAUCGGUGUCGAAGCUAACGCGCUAAGUUCCCCGCCUGGGGAGUACGGCCGCAAGGUUG